AGUGAACGCUGGCGGUAGGCCUAACACAUGCAAGUCGAACGGCAGCACAGUAAGAGCUUGCUCUUACGGGUGGCGAGUGGCGGACGGGUGAGGAAUACAUCGGAAUCUACUUUUUCGUGGGGGAUAACGUAGGGAAACUUACGCUAAUACAGCAUACGACCUACGGGUGAAAGCAGGGGAUAUUCGGACCUUGCGCGAUUGAAUGAGCCGAUGUCGGAUUAGCUAGUUGGCGGGGUAAAGGCCCACCAAGGCGACGAUCCGUAGCUGGUCUGAGAGGAUGAUCGGCCACACUGGAACGGAGACACGGUCCAGACUCCUACGGGAGGCAGCAGUGGGGAAUAUUGGACAAUGGGCGCAAGCCUGAUCCAGCCAGACCGCGUGGGUGAAGAAGGCCUUCGGGUUGUAAAGCCCUUUUGUUGGGAAAGAAAAGCAGCAGGUUGAUACCCCGCUGUUCUGACGGUACCCAAAGAAUAAGCACCGGCUAACUUCGUG
rnacentral:rRNA from 1 species